rnacentral:misc_RNA from 1 species
GAAAUGCGAUAAGUAGUGUGAAUUGCAGAAUUCAGUGAAUCAUCGAAUCUUUGAACGCACAUUGCGCCUCCUGGUAUUCCGGGAGGCAUGCCUGUCCGAGCGUCAUGCAAAAACAUAAACCUUGCCCAGUGAUUUUCUGGGUCCAAGGUUUGCUUUUGAGGGAUGAGCCUUGCUAGCUUCGGCUCCCCCUAGAAUUCCAGAGGCGAACUGAAAUGGAUAAACACCGCGGGUGGUAGUAGGUAGUAGUAAAGAAAUUUUCUCGCCCAUCCCUCCCUACGGUUUUCAUUACUCUUCAGCCGAUCAAACCAUCGAUUAACUUCUGUUUUUGACCUCGGAUCAGGUAGGGAUACCCGCUGAACUUAA